AAUGUAUUAGACUUUAUAAUUUCGCGGCGGCAGUUUGGGCUACAUUAAACCCAAAGUAGAGCGAAUGGCACUUUGAAAAUGUCUUUUUCAUAAGGCUGACAUCAGGAGACAUUAAAUAAGCAGCGAGAUAGUGCAGGCUGCUGCACACCCAGCCUGGUUGUAUAACGGAGCUUCACCUCAGCUGAACUUGACGCAUCUGGUUCAUCGGCGGCGCACGGCGCAGUCUGCAGCCUGAGUGUCCCCAUUGAACCGAGCUGGAUGGCCGGCAAGAGAGACGCUGAGAGGGGGGAACAACUCUUUUCGUGGUCCGGUAGCAGCUCUCGGAGAUUGUCUCCCAACAUUAUUCAACGUGACGACCUUUUCUGCUCCUCAGUCUACAAAUAUUGUCGUCCUGUGCUUUUUAUUUUAUGCUCUUGCUGGGUCCAGACACAUAAUAGAAGACGAUCCACCGUCUAGGAAAUAGGCUAUAUAUCCCGCGGACUUGGAGUUGGACACCCCGGAGGAAGAGACCAUCCAACUUGAACUUGACACCUAUCGAGCAACAGAGGACACAAGUGGAUGUGGAACUGCAAGGCCUCAGACGCUACACAGCAGGUGAGUAC